rnacentral:rRNA from 1 species
GACGAACGCUGGCGGCGUGCUUAACACAUGCAAGUCGAACGGAAAGGCCCUGCUUUUGUGGGGUGCUCGAGUGGCGAACGGGUGAGUAACACGUGAGUAACCUGCCCUUGACUUUGGGAUAACUUCAGGAAACUGGGGCUAAUACCGGAUAGGAGCUCCUGCUGCAUGGUGGGGGUUGGAUAGUUUCGGCGGUUGGGGAUGGACUCGCGGCUUAUCAGCUUGUUGGUGGGGUAGUGGCUUACCAAGGCUUUGACGGGUAGCCGGCCUGAGAGGGUGACCGGCCACAUUGGGACUGAGAUACGGCCCAGACUCCUACGGGAGGCAGCAGUGGGGAAUAUUGCACAAUGGGCGGAAGCCUGAUGCAGCAACGCCGCGUGCGGGAUGACGGCCUUCGGGUUGUAAACCGCUUUCGCCUGUGACGAAGCGUGAGUGACGGUAAUGGGUAAAGAAGCACCGGCUAACUACGU